rnacentral:rRNA from 1 species
GAUCCUGGCUCAGAUUGAACGCUGGCGGCGUGCUUAACACAUGCAAGUCGUACGCGAAAGGGACUUCGGUCCCGAGUAAAGUGGCGCACGGGUGAGUAACACGUGGAUGACCUGCCUCUAUGAUGGGGAUAACAGUUGGAAACGACUGCUAAUACCGAAUACGCUCAUGAUGAACGUUGUGAGGAAAGGUGGCCUCUGCUUGCAAGCUAUCGCAUAGAGAUGAGUCCGCG